rnacentral:rRNA from 1 species
CCUACGGGUGGCAGCAGUGAGGAAUAUUGGUCAAUGGACGCAAGUCUGAACCAGCCAUGCCGCGUGCAGGAAGACGGCUCUAUGAGUUGUAAACUGCUUUUGUACGAGGGUAAACGCAGAUACGCGUAUCUGUCUGAAAGUAUCGUACGAAUAAGGAUCGGCUAACUCCGUGCCAGCAGCCGCGGUAAUACGGAGGAUUCAAGCGUUAUCCGGAUUUAUUGGGUUUAAAGGGUGCGUAGGCGGUCGGAUAAGUUAGAGGUGAAAUCCCGAGGCUCAACUUCGGACUUGCCGCUGAUACUGGUCGGCUAGAGAGUAGUGGCGGUAGGCGGAAUGUAUGGUGUAGCGGUGAAAUGCUUAGAGAUCAUACAGAACACCGAUUGCGAAGGCAGCUUACCAAGCUACUUCUGACGUUGAGGCACGAAAGCGUGGGGAGCGAACAGGAUUAGAUACCCCAGUAGUC